GUCCAUGACAGCCUCGUCAGCAUCAUCAUCACCGCGGUCGGUGCCAAAGCCCUUGCAAGCGCUGCCUCGGUUCUCGCAUAGACUGCAGCUAUGAACAAGAUCGACGAAAGCGAACAUCUCCGAGUGAUUGCUGCCCCGGAUGUCGCCGCUCGAGUCAUCGGGAGGUCGCGUCCGUCCGACAGCUCUGCUUCUUUGAGGGCGAGCGGAACGAGAGACGGCGAUAUGGGGCGCCUGGACGAUGGAGCCGGGCUCAGCUGGGAGCUCAAGUUCAGGAUCCUAAUAGCCGGGGUUUGCCUACUAUUGCUCGCGCUCUUUCUGUUGACGGAGUACGCCACCCUCCAUAGCGCGUUCCGCCUUUACGACAUAUUCUGAGGAUGGUCCGACGGGAAGUCCAAGAAACGUACUUCACUAGUUCGUCUAAAGUGAUGCGCCUCUUCCAAGACCGAUCGCCCUACAACUACAAGAAUAUGC